rnacentral:rRNA from 1 species
GAUGGGCUCGCGUCUGAUUAGAUAGUUGGUGGGGUAACGGCCUACCAAGUCGACGAUCAGUAGCCGGACUGAGAGGUUGGUCGGCCACAUUGGGACUGAGACACGGCCCAGACUCCUACGGGAGGCAGCAGUGGGGAAUAUUGCACAAUGGGGGAAACCCUGAUGCAGCAACGCCGCGUGAAGGAAGACGGUUUUCGGAUUGUAAACUUCUGUUCUUAGUGAAGAAUAAUGACGGUAGCUAAGGAGCAAGCCACGGCUAACUACGUGCCAGCAGCCGCGGUAAUACGUAGGUGGCAAGCGUUGUCCGGAAUUACUGGGUGUAAAGGGAGCGUAGGCGGGAUGCCAAGUCAGCUGUGAAAACUACGGGCUUAACCUGUAGACUGCAGUUGAAACUGGUAUUCUUGAGUGAAGUAGAGGUUGGCGGAAUUCCGAGUGUAGCGGUGAAAUGCGUAGAUAUUCGGAGGAACACCGGUGGCGAAGGCGGCCAACUGGGCUUUAACUGACGCUGAGGCUCGAAAGUGUGGGGAGCAAACAGGAUUAGAUACCCUGGUAGUCCACACUGUAAACGAUGAUAACUAGGUGUGGGGGGUCUGACCCCUUCCGUACCGCAGCUAACGCAAUAAGUUAUCCACCUGGGGAGUACGACCGCAAGGUUGAAACUCAAAGGAAUUGACGGGG